rnacentral:rRNA from 1 species
AGGGAAUCUUCCACAAUGGACGCAAGUCUGAUGGAGCAACGCCGCGUGAGUGAAGAAGGUUUUCGGAUCGUAAAGCUCUGUUGUUGGUGAAGAAGGAUAGAGGCAGUAACUGGUCUUUAUUUGACGGUAAUCAACCAGAAAGUCACGGCUAACUACGUGCCAGCAGCCGCGGUAAUACGUAGGUGGCAAGCGUUGUCCGGAUUUAUUGGGCGUAAAGCGAGCGCAGGCGGAAUGAUAAGUCUGAUGUGAAAGCCCACGGCUCAACCGUGGAACUGCAUCGGAAACUGUCAUUCUUGAGUGCAGAAGAGGAGAGUGGAACUCCAUGUGUAGCGGUGGAAUGCGUAGAUAUAUGGAAGAACACCAGUGGCGAAGGCGGCUCUCUGGUCUGCAACUGACGCUGAGGCUCGAAAGCAUGGGUAGCGAAC